AAGGGCAGGUGUCACAGGCUGAGUGCUGCAGCACAGGCGAAGACUAUUUAAUAUAGAGCCUUUCUUCUGCCUGGGCCUACUCAGGACUUGCCUGAAUUUUCUUAUGAAAGAGUCUUCUGUCCUCCUCCUGCCCACAGGGCCACUUGUGAUUCCCUGAGCUCACACUGAUGCUAACUUAAUGGUGUGGGGACCCUGGAGAGCCACUGUAUCGGACGGUUACUCAGGAAGUAGGCCUCACUCAUCAGGUGACAUCACAGAGUACCCAUGCAGACCUGCUAUGACUGGUGAGGGCAGUCCAGACAAGGUCUCCAGUGAUGUAGGUGAAGAGAAGUUGGGAGUACGAGUACAAGCCUCACAGGAGACACCAGAUGUGCACUCAAGAGAGCCGUUCCAGAUGGGAUGGGAGAGGCAUGUCACCUCCUAAACAAGGAGUGCUUUGUGAGAAAUUGUGUCUGGACACUGUCUAGUGUCUUCUCUGAGUGACUACUAUGCUCCUCAGGCAGGCAUAGAAUAAGCAGGCUGCUGCCUUCCCAGGAAAGGCCCACCAAGGCACAAUCACAGGUUCAGGGAAAGACUGAAGCACAGGCCCCAGCCAGUAGAAGCACAUGUGCAGCCAGAAUAACAAAGUUUUGCCCAUAGUGUUUGGAAGCUGACAACCCUGUCCUCAGACCUAUUAGAGAACUGAGGUCAGACGACAAACUGCUAUCCUGAAAACUGAGAGAUGGAUCAAGACAGAAAAGACACAGCUGACCUGGACCAGACGCCCCUUGAGUGUUUACUGCCCCUUGCCACGCCACCAGCCGACUAUAGCCUGAAACCUCUUUACUGUGAACCAAAAUAAGCCUCUCCUUUAACUUGUGAGUAUUGGGUAUUUUGUUCCAGCAAUGAGAAAGUAAUUAGAACAUCUUAUAAGGAAAAAAACAUAAGAAUUUAGGUUUCUAUAAUUCAAAUUUCUUGGAUAAAGGGUAAUAUUUAAAGUGUUUGAAAAAGAAAACCCCACUAAGUUGGAUGGUAUGACACACAUCUAUAGUCCCAGCUACUUGGGAAGCAAAGGCAGGAGGAUUCCUUGAUGCCAUGAGUUUGGAACUAGCCUGAGAAACAAAGUGAGACCCCAUCCAAAACGAACAACAAACAAAACUCCUUUCAAAACUCCUAGAAAUUUAUAUCCAGGGAAAUCAUGCCUUAAAAGCAAAGGUGAAAUAAAGACUUGCUAAGAUAAAAACCAACCAACAAACACCUGAGGGAAUUUGUUACCAGCAGACUUGCCUUGCAAAAAGCAGUAAAAGUUUUUCAAGGAGAAGGAAAAUGAUGCAGCUCAGAAAAUCAAAUCUACAUGAAGAAAAAAAAGGUCAGAGAAGGAACAAAUAAACAAAAUCUUCUCUUUUUCCUUUUUGAAUUGA